GACGUAGGGCGCGAGCGUUGUCCGGAUUUAUUGGGCGUAAAGAGCUCGUAGGCGGCUCGUUGCGUCGGCUGUGAAAACCCGCAGCUCAACUGUGGGCUUGCAGCUGAUACGGGCGGGCUGGGAUUCGGUAGGGGGGACUGGAAUUCCUGGUGUAGCGGUGAAAUGCGCAGAUAUCAGGAGGAACACCGGUGGCGAAGGCGGGACUCUGGGCCGAUACUGACGCUGAGGAGCGAAAGCGUGGGGGAGCAAACAGG
rnacentral:rRNA from 1 species